rnacentral:rRNA from 1 species
CAAUAGCGUAUAUUAACGUUGUUGCAGUUAAAAAGCUCGUAGUUGGAUUUCUGGGGGGAGCGUCGGCCCGUAUUUACGAGUGCGUGACGUCUCUGUCCAUCCUUGCGGGAAGGCACGGCAUUGAUUUGUUGUGUCGGAUCGCAUCAUUUACUGUGAAAAAAUUAGAGUGUUCAAAGCAGGCUUUCGCUUGAAUACAUUAGCAUGGAAUAAUAAGAUAGGACUUUGGUGCUAUUUUGUUGGUUGAGCCUAAAGUAAUGAUUAAUAGGGAUAGUUGGGGGCACCUGUAUUGCGUUGUCAGAGGUGAAAUUCUUGGAUUUACGCAAGACAAACAGCUGCGAANGNGUCUGCNAAGGAUGUUUNCAUUA